UACGUAGGUCCCGAGCGUUAUCCGGAUUUAUUGGGCGUAAAGCGAGCGCAGGCGGUUAGAUAAGUCUGAAGUUAAAGGCUGUGGCUUAACCAUAGUAUGCUUUGGAAACUGUUUGACUUGAGUACAGAAGGGGAGAGUGGAAUUCCAUGUGUAGCGGUGGAAUGCGUAGAUAUAUGGAGGAACACCGGUGGCGAAAGCGGCUCUCUGGUCUGUAACUGACGCUGAGGCUCGAAAGCGUGGGUAGCGAACAGG
rnacentral:rRNA from 1 species